rnacentral:lncRNA from 1 species
UCUUCUCUGAGCACUAAGCUCCACCACUUCCAGCGGGUCCACCGUCCAACCUCCACUCUCCUCCCGGCAUCGACUGAUUAACCAUUGCGGCUAACUCGGGUCGUUGCUCUUCACUACGUUGCAGAUGCGCGACUUAACAACGCCGACUUCUCCUCACCUCACUGUCGCUCUCUAGUCUCUCUCUCCACGCAAUCGUCGGCGUCGGCCGUCGCUCUCCACGCAAUCGUUGGCCGUCGCUCUCUAGUCCAUCGGCUCUCCGCACCGUCAGCAACUUGGUUGUUUUCAGUCCUCUAUCUUCC